ACGAACGCUGGCGGCGUGCUUAACACCUGCAAGUCGAACGGAAAGGCCUCUUUCGGGGGGUACUCGAGUGGCGAACGGGUGAGUAACACGUGAGUAACCUGCCCUUGACUUUGGGAUAACUUCAGGAAACUGGGGCUAAUACCGGAUAGGAGCUCCUGCUGCAUGGUGGGGGUUGGAAAGUUUCGGCGGUUGGGGAUGGACUCGCGGCUUAUCAGCUUGUUGGUGGGGUAGUGGCUUACCAAGGCUUUGACGGGUAGCCGGCCUGAGAGGGUGACCGGCCACAUUGGGACUGAGAUACGGCCCAGACUCCUACGGGAGGCAGCAGUGGGGAAUAUUGCACAAUGGGUGGAAGCCUGAUGCAGCAACGCCGGGUGCGGGAUGACGGCCUUCGGGUUGUAAACCGCUUUCGCUCAUGACGAAGCUUUGUGUGACGGUAGUGGGUAAAGAAGCACCGGCUAACUACGUG
rnacentral:rRNA from 1 species